UAGCCGUAAACGGUACUCGCUAGGUGUCGGCCACGGUGCGACCGUUGUCGGUGCCGUAGGGAAGCCGUGAAGCGAGCCACCUGGGAAGUACGGCCGCAAGGCUGAAACUUAAAGGAAUUGGCGGGGGAGCACAACAACGGGUGGAGCUUGCGGUUUAAUUGGAUUCAACGCCGGACAACUCACCAGGAGCGACGGUUACAUGAAGGCCAGGCUGAUGACCUUGCCUGAUUUUCCGAGAGGUGGUGCAUGGCGUAGUCGUGU
rnacentral:rRNA from 1 species